AAACAGAGAAAUUCUCUCUCCUUUAUCUCUGUUCCAGCUUCCCUUUGGUCAAGUUGAAGCCUUCAUUUUUUAUGGGAUACUUGCCCUUCCAGAUCUAAAGCUUCAAUAUGGGUUCAUGGGUUGGAGUGUUUGGGUGUAGAUAUCGGCUUUAGGAGUAGAUCUAAUGGGAGGCGUCUCCAAGGUUAAGAGCUAGCAUUUAAAGAAUAGAGAAGACUGUAAUGCCAUGCCCUAUGUCUUUCUUCUUUCCCAAGUUAAUCGUUCCAGAGGCCAAUAUUUCCCUCGAGAGGCGAUGGGUUAUUUAUGGAGUUUUUCGAGCUUCCGUCUUGACUCUGGUUGGUUUUCUAGCUAAGCAUGGCUUUGAGGAAGCUUUUUCUUUCUUGAUCUGCAACGUUUCUUUGGUCCUUUGGUUUUCAAUGAGUGGCGCUGAGUUUUCCUUGAGCUGUGUAGGAAUGGGGCUAGGGUUUUACCAUGUAGAGAAAGGAGCCUCUAUUAGUGGGCCUGCAUUUAAGUUGGGGUUUCCAUGAAAAUUGGCCUUUGGUCUUGUCUGCGAAUCCUUGUCCAAUUUGGGCUUUUAAUGCAAUGACAAUUGCAAUUAAAAAAAAAGUAAAGAUUUAA
rnacentral:misc_RNA from 1 species